rnacentral:snoRNA from 16 species
UCUCUAUGAUGAUGAAUACGAUGACGAGUCUGAUCUCUUUAUCCAUUCAACCCUGAUGACAAAUUGAGGCAUUUGUCUGAGAGAA